GUCGAGCGGAGAUAAUAGCAAUAUUAUUUUAGCGGCGGACCGGUGAGUAACGCGUGGGUAACCUGCCUUGUACAGGGGGAUAACACAGGGAAACUUGUGCUAAUACCGCAUAACGCAGUGAGGAGACAUCUCCAUACUGCCAAAGGAGUAAUCCGGUAUAAGAUGGACCCGCGUCCGAUUAGCUAGUUGGUGGUGUAACGGACCACCAAGGCGACGAUCGGUAGCCGAACUGAGAGGUUGAUCGGCCACAUUGGGACUGAGACACGGCCCAGACUCCUACGGGAGGCAGCAGUGGG
rnacentral:misc_RNA from 1 species